rnacentral:rRNA from 1 species
AUUGAACGCUGGCGGCAGGCCUAACACAUGCAAGUCGAGCGGAUGAAGAGAGCUUGCUCUCUGAUUUAGCGGCGGACGGGUGAGUAAUGCCUAGGAAUCUGCCUGGUAGUGGGGGAUAACGUCCGGAAACGGGCGCUAAUACCGCAUACGUCCUACGGGAGAAAGCAGGGGACCUUCGGGCCUUGCGCUAUCAGAUGAGCCUAGGUCGGAUUAGCUAGUUGGGGAGGUAAUGGCUCACCAAGGCGACGAACCGUAACUGGGCUGAGAGGAUGAUCAGUCCCACUGGAACUGAGCCACGGUCCAGACCCCGACGGGAGUCAGCAGUGGGGAAUAUUGGACAAUGGGCGAAAGCCUGAUCCAGCCAUGCCGCGUGUGUGAAGAAGGUCUUCGGAUUGUAAAGCACUUUAAGUUGGGAGGAAGGGCAGUAAGUUAAUACCUUGCUGUUUUGACGUUACCGACAGAAUAAGCACCGGCUAACUUCGUGCCAGCCGCCGCAGUAAAAC